UACGUAGGGUGCAAGCGUUGUCCGGAAUUACUGGGCGUAAAGCGUGCGCAGGCGGCUUUGCAAGACAGAUGUGAAAUCCCCGGGCUUAACCUGGGAACUGCAUUUGUGACUGCAUGGCUGGAGUGCGGCAGAGGGGGAUGGAAUUCCGCGUGUAGCAGUGAAAUGCGUAGAUAUGCGGAGGAACACCGAUGGCGAAGGCAAUCCCCUGGGCCUGCACUGACACUCAUGCACGAAAGCGUGGGGAGCAAACAGG
rnacentral:rRNA from 1 species